UUAUUAUGAGAGUUUGAUCCUGGCUCAGGACGAACGCUGGCGGCGUGCCUAAUACAUGCAAGUCGAACGCUUCUUUCCUCCCGAGUGCUUGCACUCAAUUGGAAAGAGGAGUGGCGGACGGGUGAGUAACACGUGGGUAACCUACCCAUCAGAGGGGGAUAACACUUGGAAACAGGUGCUAAUACCGCAUAACAGUUUAUG
rnacentral:rRNA from 1 species